GCAACAGUGGUCUAACGGUUAUGAUCCGGUCUUCCCAAGGACAGGUGACAAGGUCACAUGAGUCGAUGGCCGGGAAAGGGGUUCGACUCCCUCUGUUGCA